UGGGGAAUUUUGGACAAUGGGCGCAAGCCUGAUCCAGCCAUGCCGCGUGCGGGAAGAAGGCCUUCGGGUUGUAAACCGCUUUUGUCAGGGAAGAAAUCUUCUGAGUUAAUACCUCGGGAGGAUGACGGUACCUGAAGAAUAAGCACCGGCUAACUACGUGCCAGCAGCCGCGGUAAUACGUAGGGUGCAAGCGUUAAUCGGAAUUACUGGGCGUAAAGCGUGCGCAGGCGGUUUUGUAAGACAGAGGUGAAAUCCCCGGGCUCAACCUGGGAACUGCCUUUGUGACUGCAAGGCUUGAGUGCGGCAGAGGGGGAUGGAAUUCCGCGUGUAGCAGUGAAAUGCGUAGAUAUGCGGAGGAACACCGAUGGCGAAGGCAAUCCCCUGGGCCUGCACUGACGCUCAUGCACGAAAGCGUGGGGAGCAAACAGGAUUAGAUACCCUGGUAGUCACGCCCUAAACGAUGUCAACUGGUUGUUGGGAAGGUUCCUUCUCAGUAACGUAGCUAACGCGUGAAGUUGACCGCCUGGGGAGUACGGCCGCAAGGUUGAAA
rnacentral:rRNA from 1 species